CACGUAGGGGGCAAGCGUUGUCCGGAAUCGUUGGGCGUAAAGAGCGUGUAGGCGGUCCGUUAAGUCGGCUGUGAAAGUCCAAGGCUCAACCUUGGGAUGCCGGUCGAUACUGCCGGACUAGAGUUCGGAAGAGGCGAGUGGAAUUCCCGGUGUAGCGGUGAAAUGCGCAGAUAUCGGGAGGAACACCUAUGGCGAAGGCAGCUCGCUGGGACGUUACUGACGCUGAGACGCGAAAGCGUGGGGAGCAAACAGG
rnacentral:rRNA from 1 species